rnacentral:lncRNA from 1 species
GCCUUUUUUAGACAGCUCUUCAGUAGUUUUUGUAAAAUUUCCCCUAUAGUUAAUAAUAUUCCCUAGAAAUUUAAAGUCCUUAACUUCAGUCAAAAAUUUAUUAUUGAACAAGAGGGGUGGGGAUUGUUUAUAAAUAUUCUGAAAAACUAGAAUUUUAGUCUUGUUUGUAUUAACACUCAACUGCCAUUUAGUGCAAUAUUUA